AUGUCCCCAUCCCUGCUGUGCCUGAUGGGUCUCAUGUGUCCGCCCUGUCUGCCCAGUGCGUCCUGUAUGUCCACCCAGCCCAUGACUGGUGGGUCCCGUGUGCCCACUGCCGUCAUACCCCAUGGAUUCCAUGUGUUCACCCCGUCUGCGUCUCGUGGGUUCUCUCUGCCCAACUCCACCCUGCCCAGUGGAUUCCGUGUGCCCACGCCCACCAUGUCCAGCGGAUCCCACGUGCCCACCAUGUCUGGUGGGUCCUGUGUGACCAGCCUGUCCUUGCCCGGGGGGAUCCGUGUGUACAUCCCCACUGUGCCCAGUGAGUUCCUUGCAUCCACCUGGUCUGUGUCUGGUGAGUCCUGUGUGUUCACCCUGUCCCUGUCCUAUGGAUCCCCUGUGUCCAGCCUGUCCCUGCCCCAUGGAUCCCCUGUGUCCAGCCUGUCCGUGCCCAGUAGAUCCCCUGUGUCCAGCCUGUCCAUGCUCAGUAGAUCCCCUGUGUCCAGCCUAUCUGUGCCCAAUGGAUCCCCUGUGUCCAGCCUGUCCGUGCCCGGUGGAUGCCCCGUGUCCAGCCGGUCUGUCCCCGGUGGGUUCCGACUCGCCCCGUCCCCGUCCCCACCCCGCGCGUGCCCGGCUCGGCCCGGUGGUCCUGAACCUGCGGCGCCCCCUGGCGGGCGCGGCCCCGCACGACGCUCCCGCCGCUCACCGGCACCUCCGGACGGGACCGGGACCAGAACCGGGACCGGAACCACGACUGGAGCGAGACCGGAGAGGGAGGGGGAAGGGGACAUCUACUAG
rnacentral:lncRNA from 1 species